ensembl:lncRNA
UCUCAACACUGACAGAGGUCAACACCACAAAGAAAAGUCUUUUGAUAGUUGCACAUCUCGUUCUGUUUAUUACUGGCAUAAUAUUUUGAGACAAUGUCAAAUAAUUCAUAGGCUGCUGCAUAAACCUUUCCAUUUAGAGGUAAAAUUGAGCACUGGAAUCUAAGAUUUCUUUGAGUAUUCACAGAAAACAGCAAUCAAACAAAAGAAGGACGACUUGUGAAAGGCCAUCCCUGCUCCAAAGGGUUUUAGUGUUUACACAUGCUGACAUCACGACGAAUAUAACCGCUGUACACACUGUAGCUAUUAUACACACAAGCCUCCAUCAGACAUAUUAGUUGAGCUUAUAAAGGCAACACCAUUUGACCGUGUUAAAUUCAUUUUUGAACACAAAAUAUCUGAAGACAUUUAAAAGAACACUGACAGUAAAUGCGAACCAACACGGACCAUAAGUACAGAGACAAAGCCACCAUAACUCAAUCCCUUAAGUCAUUGUGAGUAAAGCAGCGUGUCAUCACGUCCUGUUCUGUAGAGUGCAGCCAUCUUAAAUAAGUUCAAGAUUAAAUACACCGUACAGUUUUCUUAAAUACAUAAUGUGUCCUUUAAGUUAAAUUUGCCGUUAAUUGCAUAAUGUUUCAUAACAACACAAAUGUCACUUGGCAUAUCUUUGUAUCUGCAAAGAAAUGUACAUAUUCUCUGUUUAAAUAAUAUCGAUAGUAGUACAUUCAAAAAUAGCAUAAUAGUUUGGGUAUUAUUGCGGUGGUUUCUUAAAUACGCUGCGGUGCAGGGUUCUCUCAGAGCCCUCUGGCGCCAUGGGCCUGUGUGUUCUGCUGCUCAGGAUCCAGACCUGAGGCCGCUUCGUCUGUGGAGUCCUCUCUCUGGUAUCCAGGCCUAGAGUCCACUCUGAGUCCUCUCUCUAGAUCCUCUCUGAGUCCUCUCUGAUCUCUCUCUGAGUCCUCUCUCUAGAGUCCUCUCUCUAGAGUCCUCUCUGAGUCCUCUCUGAGUCCUCUCU